UCUAGUUAUAAUAGCAAAGAGGAUACACCUGUUCCCAUUCCGAACACAGAAGUUAAGCUCUUUAGCGGCGAUGGUACUUGGUGGGCAACUGCCUGGGAGAGUAGCACAUAGCUAGGU
rnacentral:rRNA from 1 species